CGCUGCCCCCGGCACCACUGCCCGCACCACCACCCAAGCCGCGAACCCCACUACCGCCUUUGCCACCACCAAGAGACAAACAGGUGCGGCCCCAGCACUCAGCAGCCUGGGCGGUGUCAGCAUCCUCAUCGUCUUGACCAACACCUUCAUCCAGCUCUUCCACCUCAGCUGAGGUCAUGCCUCAGGCCUAGCCCUGCGUCCUCCAUGUUAGCUGCCACCAUUACUACUAAGAGAAGCUCCUUACCCCAAUCCUUGGAAGGGGUUCAUACCAGAUGUCACCCGUUGUGGUGACAGGAAGUGCCUUGGGGGCAAAGGCUGACACAGGGAGGUACUGAUGGGAAAGGGGUUAGCAUCACCCAGCCCAAGUACAAUAAAGUUGUUCUGUACU